UCCUGCUCAGGAUGAACGCUGGCGGCGUGCCUAAUACAUGCAAGUCGAGCGAACAGAUAAGGAGCUUGCUCCUUUGACGUUAGCGGCGGACGGGUGAGUAACACGUGGGUAACCUACCUAUAAGACUGGAAUAACUCCGGGAAACCGGGGCUAAUGCCGGAUAACAUUUAGAACCGCAUGGUUCUAAAGUGAAAGAUGGUUUUGCUAUCACUUAUAGAUGGACCCGCGCCGUAUUAGCUAGUUGGUAAGGUAAUGGCUUACCAAGGCAACGAUACGUAGCCGACCUGAGAGGGUGAUCGGCCACACUGGAACUGAGACACGGUCCAGACUCCUACGGGAGGCAGCAGUAGGGAAUCUUCCGCAAUGGGCGAAAGCCUGACGGAGCAACGCCGCGUGAGUGAUGAAGGGUUUCGGCUCGUAAAACUCUGUUAUUAGGGAAGAACAAACGUGUAAGUAACUGUGCACGUCUUGACGGUACCUAAUCAGAAAGCCACGGCUAACUACGUGCCAGCAGCCGCGGUAAUACGUAGGUGGCAAGCGUUAUCCGGAAUUAUUGGGCGUAAAGCGCGCGUAGGCGGUUUCUUAAGUCUGAUGUGAAAGCCCACGGCUCAACCGUGGAGGGUCAUUGGAAACUGGGAGACUUGAGUGCAGAAGAGGAAAGUGGAAUUCCAUGUGUAGCGGUGAAAUGCGCAGAGAUAUGGAGGAACACCAGUGGCGAAGGCGACUUUCUGGUCUGUAACUGACGCUGAUGUGCGAAAGCGUGGGGAUCAAACAGGAUUAGAUACCCUGGUAGUCCACGCCGUAAACGAUGAGUGCUAAGUGUUAGGGGGUUUCCGCCCCUUAGUGCUGCAGCUAACGCA
rnacentral:rRNA from 1 species